UGGGGAAUCUUGGACAAUGGGCGCAAGCCUGAUCCAGCCAUGCCGCGUGAGUGACGAAGGCCUUAGGGUUGUAAAGCUCUUUUGGCGGGGACGAUAAUGACGGUACCCGCAGAAUAAGUCCCGGCUAACUUCGUGCCAGCAGCCGCGGUAAUACGAAGGGGACUAGCGUUGUUCGGAAUUACUGGGCGUAAAGCGCACGUAGGCGGAUUUGUAAGUCAGGGGUGAAAUCCCGGGGCUCAACCUCGGAACUGCCUUUGAUACUGCAAGUCUCGAGUCCGAUAGAGGUGGGUGGAAUUCCUAGUGUAGAGGUGAAAUUCGUAGAUAUUAGGAAGAACACCGGUGGCGAAGGCGGCCCACUGGAUCGGUACUGACGCUGAGGUGCGAAAGCGUGGGGAGCAAACAGG
rnacentral:rRNA from 1 species